CUCCAUGGCCCAUUAGCCCUCAAUUGUAGUCUCUGCUGGGGCCUCGAAGGGCUUAUUGCCCUUUUGUUCCUUGUGUCUAAAGAUUGUGUAGGGUGUGGCUGGAGGCGGUGCAUGGAGGCGGGACAAGGGUGGCGCUUGCUGCAGAGUAUGGGUGGGGCCUGUAAGGGGGCCCUUGAUUUAUUUUGCCCGGGGGCCCUGAGGGUUCUCAGUCCGCCCCUGCCUGC